rnacentral:rRNA from 1 species
UACGUAGGUGGCAAGCGUUGUCCGGAUUUACUGGGCGUAAAGGGCGUGCAGGCGGUCUGUUAAGUGCAGGGUGAAAGCUCCCGGCUCAACUGGGAGAGGUCCUUGCAUACUGGCGGACUUGAGGGGGGUAGAGGAAAGUGGAAUUCCCGGUGUAGUGGUGAUAUGCGUAGAUAUCGGGAGGAACACCUGUGGCGAAGGCGGCUUUCUGGGCCGUACCUGACGCUGAGACGCGAAAGCGUGGGGAGCGAACCGG